rnacentral:lncRNA from 10 species
CAGGAGGCUGUGGCUGCAAUUGCUCUGAAAGAGGCGGGUGCGCAAGUUGGAGACUGCUGAGCUGUCCCCUUACCUUAGUCCAUGAAGACAACAGGCUACAGUGAAAGUAACAGUGAAGCCUGUAAUUGCUUACUAUGCUGGCGUAACCAAGAGGAGAAAACGCCACUCCCCUUAUGUUCCAUUUUUUUCCCCACAGGACAGCACCAGACGAGAUUUUGCCAUGUUGCUUGGGCUGGUCUCAAACUCCUGGGCUCAAGCGAUUCUCCCACCUCAGCUUCUCAAGUACCUUCAAUUACAGACAGGAGCCAUCUCAUCCAGCAAUUUCCUUUUUAUGUAUUCACAAUGUAUAGUAGAUGAUAAAAGCCUAUUUAAGUAAGUUU